rnacentral:rRNA from 1 species
AACGAACGCUGGCGGCAUGCCUAACACAUGCAAGUCGAACGAGACCUUCGGGUCUAGUGGCGCACGGGUGCGUAACGCGUGGGAACCUGCCCUUAGGUUCGGAAUAACUCCCCGAAAGGGGUGCUCAUACCGGAUAAUGUCUUCGGACCAAAGAUUUAUGGCCUUUGGAUGGGCCCGCGUUGGAUUAGCUGGUUGGUAGGGUAAAAGCCUACCAAGGCGACGAUCCAUAGCUGGUCGGAGAGGAUGAUCAGCCACACUGGGACUGAGACACGGCCCAGACUCCUACGGGAAGCAGGAGUGGGGAAUAUUGGACAAGGGACGAAAGCCUGAUACAGCAAUGCCGCGUGAGUGAUGAAGGCCUUAGGGUUGUAAAGCUCUUUUACCCGGGAUGAUAAUGACAGUACCGGGAGAAUAAGCUCCGGCUAACUCCGUG